AGGAGGAGAGACCUCUGCUUGGCAAUGACUGUUAACAACACUCGCAGCAAUAAACGGAUGUGAUGGAGCUUCGCCACAGUUCGUUAAUUAUGCAGUAUUCCUUAAGGAGGAUUUUGGAGAAAGAGGGAAAUAUAAGAAGAUGAAGAAGAAGAAGAAUGGAAGGAACAUAAAACGAAAGCAGAAGUGAAAGAGAGAGAAAAUGAAACAAACAGACAAGACUAACAACAACAACAACAAAAGCGAUAAUUCAGUGUUUCAGAAAAAUGUGUAUUUUUUAUAAGUUUAUAAAUAAGAUGAAAGAUAAUAUUUCAGGAAAAUGAUUAAAAAAAGGAAAGAAAGAAAUGAAUUAGGAAAAUGAAAUAAAGCAAAAAAAAUAAAAAUAAAAAAAAGUGUUGAUGUUGAAGACGCAGAAGCCAAGAAAAUGGAAGACAGGUGAGAAGAUCUUUUAAGACUCUGCAGAAAGACCG